GACGAACGCUGGCGGCGUGCUUAACACAUGCAAGUCGAACGGAAAGGCCCCUUUGGGGGUACUCGAGUGGCGAACGGGUGAGUAACACGUGAGUAACCUGCCCUUGACUUCGGGAUAACUUCAGGAAACUGGGGCUAAUACCGGAUAGGAAUCCUUGCUGCAUGGGGGGGGUUGGAAAGCUUCGGCGGUUUUGGAUGGACUCGCGGCUUAUCAGCUUGUUGGUGGGGUAGUGGCUUACCAAGGCUUUGACGGGUAGCCGGCCUGAGAGGGCGACCGGCCACAUUGGGACUGAGAUACGGCCCAGACUCCUACGGGUGGCAGCAGUGGGGAAUAUUGCACAAGGGGCGGAAGCCUGAUGCAGCAACGCCGCGGGCGGGAUGACGGUCUUGGGGUUGUAAAACGCUUUCAGCAGGGGCGAAGCUUGUGGUGACGGUACCUGCAGAAGAAGCACCGGCUAACUACGUG
rnacentral:rRNA from 1 species